rnacentral:misc_RNA from 1 species
AUAGGAUAGAUAAUCAUUAAAAACCAUAGUAAUAGUACAGAAUGACCAAUCCAAAAGAAACAAAGCGAUCCACAGCCCAAUUUCAAAUAUAAAGUAAGGUCCCUUCAAAAAAUUACAGUGUCCAAGCCCUACAUAAAAGACCCAAAGCCUUACACAACCAAAGCAGUUACUAGGACCCAACCCAAAAGGAAAACCCGCUUCAUUCACACCUAGCACGAUCUGAGGGAAGCCCUUGCCACCGCUUGUACACUAUACUCGACGAUCAACCAUCCUGCAACGUCAACCUCUAGAGAAGAUCGAGUUGGAGAAGAUGACCUCUCUAAAACAGAUUUUAAAUCGACUGAAGCUCAAAGAGGCCAUAAAAACAAAAACCUCAGUAAAUCGAUCUCCUUAGUUGCUUUGUCACAAAAAACCCAGGGACCAAACUCCACGGCUCUAAGAGCAGCAUAGAAGAGCUCUUGACAUCCCAAUCUCCUUUAGUCUUUAAUGGACGAGUUGCUUACAACAAGCAGAAGAAAAGUCCCCAGAUAAACAAUACCUAAAGAUUGGAACCCCUAGAGCAGAGCAACAAAAAGUAGAACCAUCGAAACCCC